rnacentral:rRNA from 1 species
UACGUAGGUGGCAAGCGUUGUCCGGAUUUACUGGGCGUAAAGAGUGCGCAGGCGGUCGUUCAAGUCGCGUGUGAAAGCCCCCGGCUCAACUGGGGAGGGUCACGCGAUACUGAUCGACUCGAAGGCAGGAGAGGGUAGUGGAAUUCCCGGUGUAGUGGUGAAAUGCGUAGAUAUCGGGAGGAACAUCAGUGGCGAAGGCGGCUACCUGGCCCAAUACUGACACUCAGGUGCGACAGCGUGGGGAGCAAACAGG